rnacentral:tRNA from 1 species
UCCGGUGGCGCUCAACGGUAGCUCGUCAGGCUCAUAACCUGAAGGUCGCAGGUUCAAAUCCUGCCCCCGCAACCA